CCUACGGGUGGCAGCAGUGGGGAAUCUUCCGCAAUGGACGAAAGUCUGACGGAGCAACGCCGCGUGAGCGAUGACGGCCUUCGGGUUGUAAAGCUCUGUUAAUCGGGACGAAAGGCCUUCUUGCGAAUAGUGAGAAGGAUUGACGGUACCGGAAUAGAAAGCCACGGCUAACUACGUGCCAGCAGCCGCGGUAAUACGUAGGUGGCAAGCGUUGUCCGGAAUUAUUGGGCGUAAAGCGCGCGCAGGCGGAUAGGUCAGUCUGUCUUAAAAGUUCGGGGCUUAACCCCGUGAUGGGAUGGAAACUGCCAAUCUAGAGUAUCGGAGAGGAAAGUGGAAUUCCUAGUGUAGCGGUGAAAUGCGUAGAUAUUAGGAAGAACACCAGUGGCGAAGGCGACUUUCUGGACGAAAACUGACGCUGAGGCGCGAAAGCCAGGGGAGCGAACGGGAUUAGAUACCCCAGUAGUC
rnacentral:rRNA from 1 species